UUGUAGCAAUACAACUGGCGCACGGCGCACGGGUGCGUAACACGUGGGUAACCUGCCCUUUGGUGGGGAAUAACUCCGCGAAAGCGGAGCUAAUUCCGCAUAAGAUCCGCAAGGAUGAAAGCCGCAAGGCGCCGAAGGAGGGGCCCGCGCCCGAUUAGCUAGUUGGUGAGGUAAUGGCUCACCAAGGCAUUGAUCGGUAGCUGGUCUGAGAGGAUGAUCAGCCACACUGGAACUGAGACACGGUCCAGACUCCUACGGGAGGCAGCAGUGGGGAAUCUUGCACAAUGGGCGAAAGCCUGAUGCAGCGACGCCGCGUGGGGGAUGAAGCAUUUCGGUGUGUAAACCCCUUUCGAUCCGGACGAAACCCCGCAAGGGAUUGACGGUACGGAUAUAAGAAGCCCCGGCUAACUACGUGCCAGCAGCCGCGGUAAGACGUAGGGGGCCAGCGUUGUUCGGAAUUACUGGGUGUAAAGGGUUCGUAGGCGGUGUAGCAAGUCGGGGGUGAAAUCUUUGGGCUUAACCCAGAGACUGCUUCCGAAACUGCUGUGCUUGAGUGUGGGAGAGGCGCGUGGAAUUGCAGGUGUAGCGGUGAAAUGCGUAGAUAUCUGCAGGAACACCCGUGGCGAAAGCGGCGCGCUGGACCACUACUGACGCUGAGGAACGAAAGCUAGGGGAGCAAACAGGAUUAGAUACCCUGGUAGUCCUAGCCCUAAACGAUCAGGACUUGGGGUGCCACCCGUUCGGGUGUCGUCCCGGAGCUAACGCGUUAAGUCCUGCACCUGGGGAGUACGGUCGCAAGACUGAAACUC
rnacentral:rRNA from 1 species